UCUAGAGCGGACGCUCGAAAAAAGCCCGUAAUCUGUACCGUGUCCAUGGGAUGAAUGGCACUACGUUAGUGUGUCUCCUAACGGUGGCCUCCGGACAAGGGCAUUGUCCGGUUGUAUUUUUGCCCAUCGACAACAAGGGGCUCUGUUGUAUGAUGUUCUGUUCUCUCCCCAUUAAUUUUUAUUUCUUUACAGGUGGACAAUAAAUUAAUCAAUAUAAAAAAUUUGGAUAAAUCAGAACAGGUCGCUAUGGAACUAACUGAACCCGUUGAAGGAUCUCAUGUUCCUAAUACUCCAAUGGAUAAAAUGGAUGAUAACUCAGCGUUGGGGGACUUAUGUCCCGAAUCAACUGGGUCAUAUAUCCCUACGGAUGAAGAAGACACGUUACUGGAUUCAACGCCAAACACGCCACCCUCUACAUCCGCAGAUACCGUUGCUACUGAGCACCAGACAAAGAGUGUAAAUAACAGACCUAAAUUAUGUGGGGCUGCACGAAAACGUCUUAGGCUAUAUAUUGAGCAAGGCAUGGACAUCGAGGAGGCACGAAUAAUAUGCCUAAGGCCGAUGAAGGAAGUUCGUAAUGAGCUACGUGACCUUAAGAUCCCCAGAAAGAGAGGUAGGUCAGACGGGUCAACUCCCGAAAAACCAAAUCCCCCUAAGAGAGUAGCUAGUGCAACUGCAGAUGGCAUAAAUCUUACCAAAGACACAAACACAAUUAAAACUACUCUACCCUCGUAUAGUGAUGUGACUCAAAUCGUACGGUUGGGUGUAAUACAAUCGGACUUCCAGAAUACGCUUAUAGCUUAUACAGGCAGCAGUCCUAGAUAAAAUUGUGGAGCUGAAAAAGGGCUCUAUAAAACCUCAAUUUUCAGGCUGUACUUUUAAACCUGGCUGGCUUGUAUUCAACUGCAAAGGCAACGAUUCAGCAAAAUGGAUUAGGGAACAUGUUCCUACGCUGAAACCAUGGCAAGAUGCUGCGAUAAAGGUUGUAUCGGAAGAUGAGGUGCCUAGGACUGAAAAAUUCGUAGGAUAUUUCCCAGAAGCGCCUGAAACACCUAACAGCAGAAUCUUAUCGCUUAUUGAAGGCCAGAAUGAUGACCUAGGUUGAGUUCUGGAAGGUCCUGAAUCGAGUCAGUAAGGGUAGUAUAGCGGAAAUUACCUUUGCUAUUGACCCAAAAUCGGCCUCCAAACUUAAGGAAAAGGAGUUCCAUAUUGGCUAUGGGUAUGGCACAGUGCACAUAAGGCCCACGAAUCGCCAACAGGGAGCGACUGACCUACCCACGAGGGCAAAAGUGAGUAGCAGACCAGGACAAGUAGUGUCUAGCAAAGAGGACAGCAAGUGUUCUACUAUGCAAACAGACCUACCUUCCUGUUCUGGUACAAGCACCAAGCCCGUAACGCAAAAGGAUGACGUACCCAAUUCAACUGGUACGGUUCGUCAGGACCAACUGGACAUCACUGUCCAAAAAAGGUCCUCUAUUGAGCCAACCAGUUCGAAGAAAGGUAUUAAUUUCACAGCCAAGUUCCGAGUCAAGGAAGAGCAGCCAUGGUAACAGGCCACGAAAGGGCUUUAGUGCCUCAGCUGAAGAAGCAGCACUACGCAGCACCAACCGUUGUAGGAAGAUGGCGGCGCGGUAAGGUAAGGUAAGGCCAAGAGGCACUUGAAGUGCCUACAGGUGAACCUACAUCACGCUAAGGCAGCCUCUAAUUUGCUAUGCCGUAGGUUCACCAAAGACCUCCUGGACAUCUGUUUUAUCCAGGAACCAUGGAUCAACUCAGGGGUAAUUAAAGGACUCCAUUGUGAUCAUGAAUUCCUACUUGGGGAUCUCGUAGCGAUUCGGGCAACUAUCCCAUCGAGGUAAUUAUUGCCUCUGCACGAGGUAAUUAUUGCCUCUGCCUACCUGCCAGGUGAUGAUGUAGUAGCGCCUUCGUUUGAAGUUUCAAAACUGGUAGAAUAUUGCCAAAACAGAAACCUUGGAUGGAUCAUCUGCUGUGAUGCUAAUGCUCAUCAUACGGUUUGGGGAAGUAGUGACAUCAACAAACGGGUUUUGAUGGAUGUGUUGCAGCUCAAUUAGCCUUUACUCCCAUCAAGGUCUUAGUCAUCGCAAUUUAUCGGGUGAUUACUUUGCGGAUUGUUCCUUUACCUCUUUGUACAUUUAUACUCAAUCUCUAUUAGAUAAAUUAUACAAAC